rnacentral:lncRNA from 1 species
CAGGUGCGCCACCACACGCGCAUCCACGACAGGAAGCUGGCCGGCGUCUCCAGAGGAGGCAGGACGGCGGAGGGCCCCGCGCUGCUGCUGGGGACGUCGUCAGGCCGCCCCGCCGUGGACGCCCCAGACGCGCACGCCUCGCCAGGCCCUCAAGUCUACCAAAAUGGUGCUGGGGAGCAGCAGCA